CUACGAUGAUGCGGUAUUCUAGUCGGUUUUUGCAACGACCAGGGUGGGGCUAAAAAUCCACCGAAGGGCAUAUCUGUGAAACUUCUGGUGCUUGCUUCUUACGCCCAGUCUGGGGUGGGUGCUGGAUGGGGGACGCGAGAGCGUCCUAUGGCUUACGGGCAACCGUAAUGGCAUACGAUCCUGUUCCGUUUGCCGUGGAGACCCGAACUUGUGCCUUAUUGCGUGGUACGACUCGGGAUAAAACCUGCAAGGCGGUGUAACGCCUGUUCCGAAGGAACUUUGCAAAAACAUUUUUUUGAAAUGGGGAUUACGCUGUGUGCAGCCGUAGCCUGUCUUGAGUGGGUGCGGUGAAUGUUCGAUCAGAAGCAAACUGCGGCAGCAGACUUGCUUUAUUGCGGAUUGAAACCGUUCUUGCAAAAGAGACUAAGCGUUGACUUAAACCGUUGAGGAAAUCUCCUAGACCGUAUACGCUCAAAGGAUUGCAGUAUGUACUGAGUGGCGAUCAAGUUAAAAUCGCAGUGAUGCGGUUUUCGUGGGCUUUAAAGGGAAACCGCCCGUAUGGCGACAGCGGGUAGAACAUGGGGAAACCUACUUGACCUAAGACAUAAGAUUAACUUUGGGCGUUAUCAUCGUAUAUUUUU
rnacentral:sRNA from 1 species